rnacentral:misc_RNA from 1 species
AAGUCGUAACAAGGUAACCGUAGGUGAACCUGCGGUUGGAUCAUUAUCUCAACCCAUUUGCGAACACUGAACCGGGACGCAAGUCUCUCUACCAAUAGUCUGUCUAGUAUAUAAAUAACGACAAAACUUUUAACAACGGAUCUCUUGGCUCUCA